GGGUGUAUAGCUCAGUGGUAGAGCGUUUGGCUGUAGAUCAAGAGGUCUCUGGUUCAAACCCGGGUGUCCCCU